rnacentral:rRNA from 1 species
GACGAACGCUGGCGGCGUGCUUAACACAUGCAAGUCGAGCGGAAAGGCCACUUCGGUGGUACUCGAGCGGCGAACGGGUGAGUAACACGUGAGUAAUCUGCCCUUGGCUUUGGGAUAGCCACCGGAAACGGUGAUUAAUACCGGAUAUGCACUACUUCUCGCAUGGGUUGUGGUGGAAAGUUUUUCGGCGAGGGAUGUGCUCGCGGCCUAUCAGCUUGAUGGUGGGGUAAUGGCUCACCAUGGCUUCGACGGGUAGCCGGCCUGAGAGGGUGACCGGUCACACUGGGACUGAGACACGGCCCAGACUCCUACGGGAGGCAGCAGUGGGGAAUAUUGGACAAUGGGCGGAAGCCUGAUCCAGCAACGCCGCGUGAGGGAUGACGGCCUUCGGGUUGUAAACCUCUUUCGGUAGGGACGAAGCGUGAGUGACGGUACCUACUAAAGAAGCACCGGCCAACUACGUGCCAGCCGCCGCGGUAAUAC